CUAGUUCUACCUUGGUAUCUGUAUCAACGGGUCCAACUGAAUCAGUUACACCAACCGCUGCAGAGACCACUUUGCCAACUGAACCUACAGGUUCUACAGAUACAGUAACAACUGAGCCUACCGGUACCACCUCAGAAUCUCAAUCAACCAGUCAAACUGAUGCAGCAACAUCCGAGCCUGCUGGUUCUACCUUGGUAUCUGUAUCAACGGGUCCAACUGAAUCAGUUACACCAACCGCUGCAGAGACCACUUUGCCAACUGAACCUACAGGUUCUACAGAUACAGUAACAACUGAGCCUACCGGUACCACCUCAGAAUCUCAAUCAACCAGUCAAACUGAUGCAGCAACAUCCGAGCCUGCUAGUUCUACCUUGGUAUCUGUAUCAACGGGUCCAACUGAAUCAGUUACACCAACCGCUGCAGAGACCACUUUGCCAACUGAACCUACAGGUUCUACAGAUACAGUAACAACUGAGUCCUACCGGUACCACCUCAGAAUCUCAAUCAACCAGUCAAACUGAUGCAGCAACAUCCGAGCCUGCUGGUUCUACCUUGGUAUCUGUAUCAACGGGUCCAACUGAAUCAGUUACACCAACCGCUGCAGAGACCACUUUGCCAACUGAACCUACAGGUUCUACAGAUACAGUAACAACUGAGCCUACCGGUACCACCUCAGAAUCUCAAUCAACCAGUCAAACUGAUGCAGCAACAUCCGAGCCUGCUAGUUCUACCUUGGUAUCUGAACCAUCCACAACACAAACAACUACACAACCACCCAUACCAUCAACCAAACCAUCAACUGACCCACCAACCACAUCACCAACACCACCAACUACCACAGCAACAACUCAAACAACCAUUCGACCAAUCAUCACAGUGGAGCCCCUUGUUUGCCAAAAUGGGGGACACUUCAAUGGCUCCAUCUGCAUAUGUCUUGGUGGAUAUAAUGGAAUCUAUUGUGAAUUUGUUGACACUAUUGAGCCAGAUAUAUUUAACAGGUCAGUCAUUGUUAAUGUGGUGAUCGAUCAGGAAUUCAAUACAAAAUAUGAAGACAAAACGUCACCUGAAUACAAAACCUUUGUUGGAGAUUUCACCGACCAGAUGGAAACAUAUUACCAUGGAAAGAACCUAUCAAACUUUAAAGAAGUGGUGGUAACUAGUGUGAGCCGUGGAGCCACUUUGGUCAAAUUAUCAGAUAACACUGUGGAAGAGAUGAGAUUAUCAUCUGAAGUUAUACCUAUCUACAGUAUCGCACCAAGAGCAGAAGGAUUGUCCUUUCACCGUCAUAGCUCCGCCCAUACUUAA
rnacentral:lncRNA from 1 species